GGCUUCAUAGCUCAGUUGGUAGAGCAUCACACUUGUAACGCGAAGGUCAUGGGUUCAAAUCCCGUUGAAGCCA
rnacentral:tRNA from 1 species